UCAAAGGAGACUGCCAGUGAUAAACUGGAGGAAGGUGGGGAUGACGUCAAGUCAUCAUGGCCCUUACGACCAGGGCUACACACGUGCUACAAUGGCAUAUACAAAGAGAAGCGACCUCGCGAGAGCAAGCGGACCUCAUAAAGUAUGUCGUAGUCCGGAUUGGAGUCUGCAACUCGACUCCAUGAAGUCGGAAUCGCUAGUAAUCGUAGAUCAGAAUGCUACGGUGAAUACGUUCCCGGGCCUUGUACACACCGCCCGUCACACCAUGGGAGUGGGUUGCAAAAGAAGUAGGUAGCUUAACCUUCGGGAGGGCGCUUACCACUUUGUGAUUCAUGACUGGGGUGAAGUCGUAACAAGGUAACCGUAGGGGAACCUGCGGUUGGAUCACCUCCUUA
rnacentral:rRNA from 2 species